AUGGUGGUGGUGGGGGGCGGCGGCGGGAAUGCGUGGGCGAAGGAGAUGACCCUCCGCCGGAGGAUGGCCAGCAUGUAUGUGCGCGCCCCCUCCCUCCCUCCGCCCUCGACUCCCCAGGUUCCUCUGAACAAAAUUUCCGCUGUCGAGGCUGCUAGGACUGAUUCCUUUUUCUGUGGAUGCCGGCGCAGAUUCAACAAGACGCGGGAGCACUUCCCGUCGCUGAAAGACUACAACGAUUACCUGGAGGAGGUCGAGGAUAUGACAUUCAACCUCAUCGAAGGAAUCGACGUCGAGGCGAUCGAGGCGAGGAUUGCCAGGUAUCAGCAGGAAAAUGCUGAGCAGAUAUACCUGUCGCGAGCUAAAAGGGCUGAAGAUCUCGCCGCGGCGCUUAAAGCGAGCAGAAUGGUUGCUGUAAAGGCUGGCCCCAGUGAUAUGGCUGCUGGAACCUCCCAGGGUAUUAGUGGUGGAGCAGGAGUUCAAGGCCAGUAUGCACCUGCCGCCGUUCCUGGUGGGUUGAAUCAGCCUCGUCCGACAGGUAACGCCCCGCAGCCAAUCGGUGGUUCAUCCGAUCCUCUACAUGGAUAUGACGAGGAGACCAUGCGGCUACGCGCGGAGAGAGGAGCUCGGGCAGGUGGUUGGACUGCUGAGUUGGGUAGGCGAAGAGCACUGGAGGAGGCAUUUAGCAGCAUAUUCGUAUAA
rnacentral:rRNA from 1 species